AUGGCGCAGGGGCAGCGCAAGUUCCAGGCGCACAAGCCCGCAAAGAGCAAGACAGCAGCGGCGGCAUCUGAAAAGAAUCGGGGCCCGAGAAAAGGCGGUUGUGUUAUCGCUCCCAAGAAGGCGCGCGUCGUGCAGCAGCAAAAGCUCAAGAAGAACCUAGAAGUCGGGAUCCGGAAGAAGAUCGAACACGAUGUGGUGAUGAAAGCCAGCAGCAGCCUGCCCGAGAAGCUGGCCCUGCUAAAGGCCCCGGCCAAGAAGAAUGGGGAGGCUGCCGCCAUCUCCUCCAAGACACCUUCCUGAGGACGCUGGCCCCAGCGCAGGCCAACACCCCACCCCCCACCUCCAUGUGGGAUCUUACAAGUGAUCCUACAGGCUGCACUGGCAGGAAGAGGACCCCAUCCCCCAGCACUGGGCUUCACCUAGAACUUGAGUGGGGGCCAAGAGUGCUGAGAACCCAGCAAUGACCAGGAAGAUACAGUCACCAGCUUCAUCUGUCUCCAUGCCCCUUCCCAGGUCCUGCCUCCACAGGUUUAACCCAGAACAAUAAACCCGGCUUUGUCAUCAAAAA